rnacentral:rRNA from 1 species
CAGGCCUAACACAUGCAAGUCGAGGGGCAGCAGACCGCUUCGGUGGUGCUGGCGACCGGCGCACGGGUGAGUAUCGCGUUUGUAACCUACCCUUAACCGGGGGAUAGCCCGAAGAAAUUCGGAUUAAUACCCCAUAACAUUUAAGCACGGCAUCGUGCUUUCAUUAAAGCUCCGGCAGUUAAGGAUGGGCAUGCGUGACAUUAGUUAGUUGGUGAGGUAAGGGCUCACCAAGACCACGAUGUCUAGGGGGUCUGAGAGGAUGAUCCCCCACACUGGUACUGAGACACGGACCAGACUCCUACGGGAGGCAGCAGUGAGGAAUAUUGGUCAAUGGACGCAAGUCUGAACCAGCCAUGCCGCGUGCAGGAUGACAGCCCUAUGGGUUGUAAACUGCUUUUAUACAGGAAGAAACCCAUCUACGUGUAGAUGGUUGACGGUACUGUAAGAAUAAGCAUCGGCUAACUCCGUGCCAGCAGCCGCGGUAAUACGGAGGAUGCAAGCGUUAUCCGGAUUCAUUGGGUUUAAAGGGUGCGUAGGCGGGGCAAUAAGUCAGCGGUGAAAUCCUGCGGCUUAACCGUAGAACUGCCAUUGAUACUGUUGCUCUUGAGUAUA